rnacentral:rRNA from 1 species
CGUCCAGACUCCUACGGGAGGCAGCAGUGGGGGAUAUUGCACAAUGGGGGGAACCCUGAUGCAGCGACGCCGCGUGGGUGAAGAAGCGCCUCGGCGCGUAAAGCCCUGUCAGCAGGGAAGAAAAUGACGGUACCUGAAGAAGAAGCCCCGGCUAACUACGUGCCAGCAGCCGCGGUAAUACGUAGGGGGCAAGCGUUAUCCGGAUUUACUGGGUGUAAAGGGGGCGCAGACGGCGAUGCAAGCCAGGAGUGAAAGCCCGGGGCCCAACCCCGGGACUGCUCUUGGAACUGCGUGGCUAGAGUGCAGGAGGGGCAGGCGGAAUUCCUGGUGUAGCGGUGAAAUGCGUAGAUAUCAGGAGGAACACCGGUGGCGAAGGCGACCUGCUAGAACAUAACUGACGCUGAUGCGCGAAAGCGUGGGGAGCAAACAGGAUUAGAUACCCCAGUA